UACAGACAGAGAUUCAGGAGAGUAGACUCUGGUAAGAAUUCUCACCUUUUCUGACUCCUGCUGGUAUUUCCAGGACCUCAUUUACAGGCUAUGAGUGACGUUUAGAGUGUAGCUGUAAUAUCUACCAGAAUUUGCUAAGAGCUUUUAUUAAUUUUAAUUUAGUUUCCUUUUGGCUCUUUAAAAGUGUUACUGGUAGCAGUUUACUAGUGUAAUCCCCAAAGCCCCAUCAUGUCUUGAAGGGGUCCAUUUGGGACCCUCCCCUGGGGGUACACAUGGGAGCAUUUGAAUAGAUUUUAAAGAUUUUUCAUAGAGCCCUUGAGGACAACUUUUUCUUCCCCAGUGCCCUUGUUGAUUACAAAUGAGACAUCCAUCUCUAGGCCAGCAUUUUUUUAAUGGAUCCUUAGGAGAUUUUGAUGUAGAAGGCCUGGGUGUUAUUUUAGGUGCCAGGCCUUGAAGUUGUUAUAAUUGAGGCCAAUAGCUUAGCAGAUUUUUACUUGUGGUCUUGUUCUAAAAUGCUUUCAAAGUACUUAGCAAUGGUCAGUCAAAGCAGGUGCCUCCCAUUCUACUUUCUGCCUUUUUUUUUUAUCAGUCCAUUUAUGUCAGUAGAUAGUCUAUUUACAAACAGAGCAGCCAGAGAAGGUUGAGUGACCUCUCUUGAAUGAAACCUAGAAUGCUUUAGGAAAAGAGCCUACAGACAGGCUUUAAAAUCUGCAACAGAUUCCUCUUUUUUUUUUUUUUUCCCUGCAUCUUUGAAUAAUAGGCCAAUCCAUGUUGGCAGGGUAGACUUCAGAAAUGGCUUUUAAAAGAGUGGCUAUUUCAUGCUUUAUUUUUCAGUCCAUGAGGGAACUGUGUUGAAGAUUGAGGAUCUUACCCUCAGGGUUAUGUCUUUCUGCUUUCCACAUCCAUUUUUUGGUUUCAUCAGGUCCUACCAAAAUGGACACAAGGUAACAAAGAUCUGACAAUCUAUGGUCAUAGGCCCUUACAAUGAAAUUGAGAAGAAUCCUCUGGAGAUCCUGGGCACAAAAGCUUUUCUGUGUCCCCCAUUUCUUGUUUGUAGGAAAUAAUCUUCAUUCAGCCUCCUUGACCUUCCCUGAGUUCCAAAGUUCAGGUUCUAACAGUUGCCAAUCAGGGAAGGAAGAGGAUGCAGAGACAAGGAAGGAAUAGUCAAGAAACAAUAGCACAGCCUUGGAGCAGGGUACUGGUUCUGUUGCAGGAAUCUCAUACAGAGAGAUGGGAUGCCAAGGCUUUUUACCAGAAAGCAGCAUUUAUUCACGCCAGCCCUGGCUCAGCAGAUUCAUAUCCAAAAGCUGAGCCCUGAACACAGUGGGGUACUGUCUUAAAUACCCUCUGUUUUUGUUUUUUUUUUUUUUUUUUUUUUUUUUUUUUCUUUUAUGCUUUGGUCCCUUUGUCCCCUUUAUAAGAUAACAUACAUUUUGUAAAUUCUGCUUGGAUGGUCUAUGUUACAAAGUGUCACAAGGACACAUUCUGUCUUGUUGCUGCAAAGUUACACAUGCACACACAUAUGCUGGUUAUGCCACAUUGCCUUCCCUUUGCUCUGGGAGGGCCCUUACCACAUUCCCCUUUAGAUGCUUGGACCCCAUCUGGGGUCAAAGAGCAUCAUCUUGGUUUAGGGGUUUAUAUUUCCAUAACAUCAUUACAUAUAUGGCCAUUUUUCUUUCAACCGUGGCCUCAAUGAGUCUGGAGACAGACCUUAUAACUAGGGGGGCUAGACAGGGUAGGAUUAGGCAAGCCCCCAAAAUUAAAAACACACACUUAUGGGGGUUUUGAAUCCCCCCAAAGUUAAAAACCCUCCCCCAAAUUUUGGGGGUUCCAGCCUCUCCAGGUUUGUACUGGGACAUGAGUGAUUUUUCUCAUUUGGUCUGUGAUUUCCUCUAUGACCUUCCCUUCAUUAUCUAUUUGAAAGCAGGAGUUACUCAGGUUAAAUUUUCCACAAACCCCUCCUUCAGCGGCCAGGAAGUUAUCUAAGGCUAGGUGGUUUUGGUAGAUAGCAUUACGCAUUUUGGGUUGCUGCUUGGCUAGUAUAUUAAGGGCUUUUGCAGUUUUAUUAGUUAUAAUUUCAACCACAGCCUGUAACAAUUUAGCAUAUAGAUCGGAGUACGGUAUCCAUAAGAUCCACCCUCUGUCCAGGUGGCUGGACCACGGUAAUGGAUUAUAUACUCAGGGGGCCAUUCGUCAUCCUUCUAGUUGCCAAUUUGUAAGGCACAUUGUUUUUUUUUUGGGGGGGGGUUUCCAGUCCUUAUACCCUCAAAUUCUCAAAUGUUCUCCUCUGGUAAGUGAAAGCAGGAAGAAGGAUGGACAAAUAGAUCCCAACUCAUAAGAUCCUGACCAGUUUAGGGGAAGUACACUGUAGGCUGUUCUCCCAUAUAUCCAGUAUAGUCCAUCUGGGGCCCGCCAUUCAAUGUCUGCAUCAACCUCAUCCCAGGCCUUUCACCACAUUUCCAGUCAGCCGGAGUGGCUUUUGUCAACGCUAUGGCAAAGAUUAGGGUGAGGAUCACAACGACAGACAGUGACAAGGGGUAACAGUGUAUCACAGUAAGAGAACAGAAAUAGAAAACAAAAAUAGAAUACUUAUCCCAUCGGGCAGGCUACUCCUCAAGCUUCUGCUGGGUGUAGAUUAGUCAGAUUCUGGAGUGACUAAAGCAGGGCUGCAGUCCUCAAGGGUCUCUGGAGUCACAAUCUGUUUCCUCUGGAUGGUUAGCUUGCAAGGUGUUGAUGGACCAGAAGUUCAUUCCCAGCCUUGGGAAGCUGGCUUCACUCUGCUGUGGUGAAUCCAAGGGACCACCUCGGCUACCUUCACUGCAGUAGGGGUGGAUAAAAUGACAGUGAAUAGAUCCCUCCAGAGGGCCUUUAGGGGUUAGACAUUCCACUCUUUUCCCAUACAGCAUCUCCUGGUUUAAAAGGGUGGGCAUCUGUGGUCAAGCUCACAGAUAACUGUUCCCUAACCCAAUGGUGUAUAGCAGUUAGGUUGCAAGAGCUUGCAUCUGCUGUCUCAGGGUAAUGUUGUCCAAUUCUUUUAGAUCCCCUUGUAUACCCCUGAUAAUGGGAGGAGGGCAUCUGUAAAGAAUCUCAUAAAGAGAAAACCUUAUCUGUCUAGUAGGGCUGGAUGUAAUCCUUAGCAGAGCAAUUGGCAACAGUUGGUCCCAGUGUAGAUGGAUCUCCUGACACAGUUUACUUAGUUGCAAUUUUAGAGUUCAGUUCAUUCUCUCCACCUUCUUGGAGCUCUGGGGACAAUAUGCCAUGUGUAACUUCAACCCCUUUGCCAUCAAUUGCACCAUUUUAGCCAUGAACACUGGCACGCUAUACAAUCCCAUGGUAAUUGGGAUUUCAAAUCAGGGAAUGGUUUCCUUUAGGCGAAAUCAAGCCACUUCAUGUGCCUUCCCUAUGUGGGUAGGGAAUGCCUCUACCCAGCCUGAGAAAGUACACACUAACAGAUAUUUACAGCCUCAGACUCAGGAAAGCUUAGUGAAGUUCACAACUAUAUUUUUAAAUGGGGCCCCUCCAACACUUUGUACUCCAGGGCUGGCUUCAGGUCCUCUCUAUAAGAUGGUAGAGGUGCCACUCUUCCCCUCAGGGGACCAUGAGAGUCAUGAUUUUUGUUCCUGGUUUCUCUAGGGUAAGGGCUGCUUGGCCUUGGGAGUCAAAAGUUAUCUAAUCCUGUAGCAUUCCCAAAAAGUCCUGACCCAUGAAAGCCACAGGAUAGUAGGGGAGGUAUAGGAAUUCAUGAAUGACUUCAAGGCUGCCUAAAUUGCAUCAUUGAGGCAGUAAGAAAGGACAACAGGUUUGGUCACCAGAGGCUCCCACAAUAGUGGCUUGUCUCUGCAAGAGGGGGCCCAUGGUUGGGUCACCAUAGAAUGUUUUGUCCCAGUAUCUACCAUGAAGUCAAUGGGCUAGCCCUCUAUGGUCAUUCCGACCAUGGGCUCCUGGGGGCCUAAUAAAAUGGAGCCCAGUCUGUCCUAGUCUUCCUCAUAGUUUCCUAUGGCAGCCAGACCAACAAAAUCAUCUUCAGGGGCUUCAUAUGAUGGCUGCACUGGUUGCACCAUCCUAGAAUCACCUGACCCCUCCCCCUCUGCCUGGGAGCUGGGUAAUAAUUUUCUGACCACUGGGGGCACUUGUUCUUCCAGUGACCUUCCUGGCUGCAGUGAGCAUAUUGAUUUCAUCCCAAGCUCCUCUCAGGGCAAGGCCGUCCCCCUUGUCAGUUUCUUCUCUGACCUCAGCCCUAGCCUGGCUGGGGUACCUCUCUGGGAGUGUCCCAAUCAAUCCACCAGGGCAGCAGCAAGCAGAUCUGCCUUCUUUUUCAUUUUUCUGUCUGCCUCUCAUCAUGCCUCUUGGUCUGGGUUGACAAAUAACCUUCGCUGCAACCUCCAACAAUUGGCUGGCAUUCAUUAAAGUGAAAUGUAGCUUACAUUGGAUGUCUCCCUGGACCUGGCCAACAAAGGUUGCAUUAACCAUCUGUUGAAUCUCAGCAGCUUCUGGGUCAAAGGGAGUGUAAAGGUGAAGUGCUUUGCAUAGCCUCUCAUAAAAUUGACUUGGGUUCUCCCCAGGUCCCUGGAGCACCUCUGAAGUUUUGAUCAUGUUCAUAGCCUUCCCCUCACCCCCUUACCCCAUCCCCCCACUCACCCUUCAUGCCACUUGAAAAAGCUUGAGAAUUUGGAAUUCCUGGACAUCAUUAGGGUCCCACUGGGGAUUUUCCUGAGGGAUCUGGCUCUGGGCAUAAGCCUGCACAUUCAUUAUCCCUGGCAGGGCAUGUUCUUCUAACCACUUUAAAGCAGCCUGAGUAAUUCAGUGGUGCUCUUCAGUGUUGAAGUGUCAGGAGUAGCUGAUGGCAAUCAGUCCAAGUGGGCUUGUGGAUCUGGAUGAUGGAUUGCAUUAAAUCAAUCAUAGCCUGAGGUUUCUCAGUGAAUGAUGGAGUAUGGUUCUUCCAGUUCAGGAGAUAAGUGGUAGUAAAAGGCUGAUAUAUGAAAGUACAUUGGCCCCCUUGCAUCUGACCAUCCUGAUCAUAGUGAGGGGCCCCCAAGUUUCCCUCAGUGGCAUUUGUAAGGCACCUCAGAGCCCAUGAGGAAGGGAACUGUCAUCGGGGUCCUCCUGGAGGGUCCCAUCCAUAGUAUAUGGGGUUAAGACUGGAGGCUUCAAAGUGUCUAUGGUCAGGGGUGUCUUGAGAAGGUUUGUGGGAGGAGUGGCUUCAGGGGUGUGGGCAGCCUCUGGUGGGGUUUUGGCUAUGGUAGGUGCAGGGAGUGCCAGUGGUAGUGGGGGAUACAGUGGUGUAUAAGAUGGGGGGAACUUCUGGCUCCCCAAACAGAAUAGGUGUCUCAGGCUCCCGCUGGCAUUUUGAGGAAGCUGUCAUUCAGGCCAUAAUGAUUUUACAGUUCUCUUCCAGACAGGCUUUGGGCCAAGGUGGCUGAGAGAGGACUAUGUCUUGCCAGCAGUCAUUGUAAAGGAAUUUUUCAGGGUGGCCUGGGUCCCACAAUUAUUCAAAACACUUUUCUAACCACUUCUUUAUCUAAUGACCCCUUAGAGGGCCAACCCACCCCAAACAAAGGCCAAUCUAUCUUACAGAAUGUCCGGAGUUUUCUGGUAGUCAACUUAAUACCGUAACCUCCUGAAUAUCCCUUCUUGAAAUUUUUUAUCAUACACUCCAAGGGGGUAUGUUUACUCUGUCUGUCACCCAUUUCCUCCCCCCUAAAAGAUUAUAAUCACACACAAGAAGGGAAAGGAAAGCAGUUACAAAUCACUUCAUCCAUCUCUGGCUGCUCUCCUCACAGAAAUAUUUCAGGUGCCUCUUAGCAUUGGUGGGACUGUAUAAACACCAGUGUCAGCAUCUCUCCAAAGAGAGCCACCAUAAGCCAUAUGAGGAUCCCCACAGAACUGCAGAUCAGGACUCCAUACUCGCUUUGGCUCUUGGUUGAGUCGGAACAUUCCUGUUGUCCAUCUUAUUCACUCACAUUCACACAACGUCUCCAAUCCUCUGCCCAGUGCCUUAGAGUCACUUUUUCAUCUCCUGUGAGAUAACUCAGGCAACUCUGGGAGGUGAUCAGGCUCCUCUUCUGCCUCUAAGGGGCAGGCUUACCAAACCAAACCUGGGUCCUUACCAGUCUGACAGGCAAUGCUCCCUUGGCUGGUUCUUGGGACUCACUGUGUUCUGUUGUGCUCCCAGGGUCCUCGCCCCAACAUGCAGGGAGGGCUAGUACCCUAGGAUCAAUUGGUCCACUGGCGCCAGGUGAGAUCACCUCUCCCAGUAUCCCAGGGAUCACACCCUGGUGGCAAGGGAGGUGAAAUCACUAUCUCCAAAUACAGGAUGAGCCCCCAAGAAAUGUUGCAGGUUUCUCAUACAGAGAGAUGGGACACCGAGGCUUUUUGCCAGGAAGCAGCAUUUAUUCAGUGGAUGGCUCAUAGAUUCAUAUCCAAAGGCUGAGCCCCGAACACAAUGGGGUGCUCUUAUAUACCCUCUGUUAUUUUUCUCUUUUAUACUUUGGUCCCUUUGUCCCCCUUAUAAGGUAACAUACAUUCUGUAAAUUCUGAUCGGAUGGUCUACAUUACAAAGUUGCACAUGGAUACUGAUUAUGUUUUGCUGCCACAGGGUUUUGCAUGUGCACACAGAUGCUGGUUAUGCCACAUUGCCUUCCCUUUGUUCUGGGAGGGCCCUUAUCAGAGUACUGCCUCAAGAGAUAUACGUUAAAAAAAUCUUUGAGGUCUUCUGCAGAACUAAAACCCCCAACACAGAGAAGAUUUUAACUACCUGAUUUGUCAUUCUAGAAAUAAAGUCACAAUGUGAUAAUAUCAAGGACCACUAGAACCAGUCCUGGAACACAGAACACCAAUUUUGAAGAACAAUGCAGGCUUGCAUCUACUCUAAUCCUUGUCUGUGGCCCCAUUUUCCAUUCCCAACUCUAAAACCCCUUCCUAUUCUCUCUUAAAUGAGGGCACAGUCUUUAGGGCAUUAGCCUGUUGUGGCCUCCUUUGCCUGUCAAAGUAAUAAAAGUUACUCCUUUCUACUUCACCCAAAACUCUGUCUCCACAUUUCCAUUCAGGAUGAGUGAACAGAGGUCAAGUUACAUGACUGUAAGAACUCUAAACUCUUCAGAAAAGUUUUGGGGAUCCCUCCUAGGUUUAAGAAAAUUCUUGGAGUUCCCGUCGUGGCGCAGUGGUUAGCGAAUCCGACUAGGAACCAUGAGGUUGCGGGUUCGGUCCCUGCCCUUGCUCAGUGGGUUAAGGAUCCGGCGUUGCCAUGAGCUGUGGUGUAGGUCGCAGACGCGGCUCGGAUCCCGCGUUGCUGUGGCUCUGGCAUAGGCUGGCAGCUACAGCUCCAAUUGGACCCCUAGCCUGGGAACCCUAUAUGCCAUGGGAGUGGCCCAAGAAAUGGCAAAAAGACAAAAAAAAAA
ensembl:lncRNA